UACCAGCACCCCGAGUGGUUGGGACGAUUAUUGGGCCUAAAGCAUCCGUAGCCGGUUCUGCAAGUCCUCCGUUAAAUCCACCUGCUCAACAGAUGGGCUGCGGGGGAUACCGCAGAGCUAGGAGGCGGGAGAGGCAAACGGUACUCAGUGGGUAGGGGUAAAAUCCAUUGAUCCACUGAAGACCCCCAGUGGCGAAGGCGGUUUGCCAGAACGCGCUCGACGGUGAGGGAUGAAAGCUGGGGGAGAAAACCGG
rnacentral:rRNA from 1 species